rnacentral:lncRNA from 1 species
CAACCCCGGAACUUACUUUAAUUGAUUAAAUAUUAACUUGUCGAUAGUGUGAAAAUAAUUUAACAUUUUAAUUAUUAUCGCAUCAUCGAUUACAAAACUAGCACAUUAUUUUUAUAUUAUCGAAACAUCAAUAUGCAUUUAGUUAACUAAAUUCAGUUACAGAACUUGAUGGUAAUAGUUUAAAAAAUUUGAGCCAAAUUGUAUAAUAAAUUAAAGUUUGAGAACUAAAGUAUCACCGCGCCCAUAGUCUAAUAACCAGAAGUGUAGAUUUGGAAACUUUAAAUUAUCAUUUUUUGCUUUUGCAUCUGAAACGUGAUCGUUUCAACUUUCCGUUACGUAGCGAAAGAUACAACGUUUGUGACGCAAGAUGGCCUAACUAUUCCUAUUGAGAGUAUAAAAUUAUGGUAAAACUUCAAAUAUCCCGCGUGGUUUCGUACUUUUUUACUUUAUAUUCUGUGGUUUAAAGUGUAUCAAGUUAGUACCCGAUGAUUUUGCACUUUCUCACUUUAGUAUCCUGUGGUUUCAAGUGUAUCAUGUUAGUACCCUGUUGUUUAAUUUUUGUAUCAAGUUAGUGCAAUGUGGUUUCAAUUUUUUUUUUUUAUUAUCUAUUUCGGGGUAUAUAAUUUAACGAAAUAUUAAACCACAGAGUACUAAAGUAAGAAAGUGCGAAACCACAUGAUACUAACUUGAUACACUUGAAAGCACAGGGUACUAAAAUGAGAAAGUGCGAAACCAUACGGGUGUAUUUGAAGUUUUUCCUAAAAUUAUUUUAGAAGUUGGACAGAAAAGAUAUUUAUUUUUCGUUUAGUUUGAAAAUAAAGUAGGGAUAACAAAAGUUAUUUCCGCUAUUCUACCAAACGAAAUAUUUUUUCGCCGGAAUAUUUUAUUCUGAUCAAAUUUUACUAUUUUCGAUUAUUCCGGAAUAACUUGAGAUAAACGAUUGCACCCUUUUGGUUGGAUAGUGCUAUUACAAAAUUUAAUUACAAGCUUUACUAAGAUUAUAAAUUGAAUUAAAACUUAAUUAUAAGGACAUAAUAUCUUAUAUUUAAUUGUACUAUAUUAAUAUAUAUCAUUUAUAUUUAAAUAUUAUAAUAAAAUUAUUUUUAUUAAAUUUAAGUUUAAGUAGAAUUUGAAAGUAAUUAUUUUUAUAAAAAAAUAUUUUUUAUUAAAUCAUAAUUUAUAAUAAAUUAUUUUUACAAUGAAAUAUUUCGACAACAAAUUAUUUUUAUUAAAUUAUAUUUUAUAUCAAAUUCAAGCAUCACUUUUUUUUUUUAACUGUUCUUUACUGUUUUAUAAAAUUAACCAAACACAAUUUCAAUUAUUCCUGAGAAUAGUAGUAUUAUAAAUAAAACACAAUUUUAUUUUUAUUCCUGACUAUUUCAGAAUAGUAAGCUAUCGGGAAAUAAAAUUUUUUUUUCCCAAUAUUCGUUAUUCCGGAACCAAAUCGGCCAUUAGGGUUUAUUCGACCCUAUUUCUACUUCUAUUUCAGCAGCGUCUAAUAAGGUGUUAGAGUAGAAGAAAAAUCCAUGAGAAGUUUGAAUGACAUUCUAAGUCUCGAAAGCAGAAAGUCCAACUUGUGUUUAUACGUUUUGCAGUAAAAAUAAUAUACUAGGCACAUAUUAUUUAAUAUCAUUUCUAUUAAUAGCACUGCUCGGACAAUACUUUUGAGGGUGCGUUUGAUUCGAGUUAUGUAAUAUUACAGAGUAUUUCGAUAUAUCCAGGUAUCUUAGAUUUCUAAAUGAGAUUACUACUGAUGCUGCAUUAGUACGUUUGGUUUAAUAUAGUAAUGUAAUACUGGAUUGCAGUGUUUAUAGCAUUACUAUAUUUGGUUAUGUCUAUAAAAUUUAGUAAUCUAGACAAUAAAAUAUAGUCUAUUCCAAAAUUACCCUUAGUCAUAUUUCUUAAACUUUUUUUUACUGUUUACAAACAAUAUUUUUUUUACCAAAUUUUAUUUUAAAUAAUUUAAUUUUUUAAAUUUUAAAUUUUAAAUUUUAAAUUUUAAAUUUUAACAAAAAUAUAAAUUUAAUAUUUUAAUUUAAAAUAUAAANNNNNNNNNNNNNNNNNNNNNNNNNCCUGUAUCAUAUUUGAUACACUUAGGGCCCGUUUGGAUUGGGUAUAAAUUAAAAUUUUUAAAUUUGCUAAAAUACUACAAAUUAUUUAUUAAAAUUUGUAUAAAUUAAAAUAUUUAAAUUUGAUAAAAUAUUAUUUACCCGCCGCAAAGCGCGGGCCCUACACUAGUAUAUCAUGGAGGUUUAAUUUAAUUAAAUACAGUUGCUUUUGGGAGUGUGAUAGGAAAAAUGAAUGGUCUUGUUUUUUUUUUUUUAUAAAAUAUAUAGAUUAAUCUAUCUCUAAUUUAUUGUAUAUCUUUAUUAUUUUGCAUGUAUAUUUGUUAUAGGCUCUAAUUGAGAUUGCGAAAAAAUUAUGUUACGUGCGAUUAGAAAGUAUAAUAAAAAAUGCUGAAAUACAAAAAGCUUAUAUGUAAAUAGUCGUUUUUUUUUUCGUCUAACUUUAAAAAGCCGCAUUUUACCUCCCAAAAAUUUCAAGUGAUACAUUUAAUUUCUAUCUGUCAAGGUUUCGUCACUACUCUGUAUAUUGCUUAUAAUUUAUAUUAAAAAAAUGGUUAAAAAUGACAAAAAUAUAUUAAAAAAUUACUUUUUAUAGAACAAGUAAGCGUAAUUUGGUUGUUUCACCAUCUCUAUUAACGUUGUAAUUUUGUAAUGUCUUGCAAAUAUUUUUGAAAU